CAAAAUCAUAAAAGUUUACAAAUUUAAAUUAUCAUUCAUCGAAAUAUGCUACUAACUAAUUUGUUAUUAUCCGGAAAUAUUUUAAUCAAAGAUAAGACACAGCAUGUGAAAGUGCGGCAUCUACACAACUGAUACACGAGCAUUAGCACUCCCAAUAAUCUAUUGAUAAAAUUAUCACGUGACAUGAUGCUGAUUAAUGUAUGACCACACGUGUGUGACCGCCUUUUUCAAACGCGGAAAUUGUAUUAUUUUCCUGGACAUUAUUUAGGACCGUUUUCAGCAAAAAAGAAUUCAUAGAAAUGUAUUAGAGACAGAUCAGUAACUUAGGAAAGAAAGAUUUAAGGAUAAAAGUAAUAGCUGUCAAGGAAGAGUAAUGGAGGCCUACACAAAAAUAACAGAAGCUGAAUUAAAGAAGGAUUGUGCACCAGAAAUGGUUGGAGGAGCUUAGAGACUACAAUUCAUUUUCACGAA